rnacentral:misc_RNA from 1 species
AAUUUCGUGGCGUUGAUUGUCUAAUCGUAACGGGAAAUUACGACUCCCGUUGACCGAGACCGAGAUAUUUAUCUUCAGUCAAAAAACUGUUAUUUUAUAAUAACUUAUAAUUUUCAAAUAUUAAUCCUGCGAAGAAAGGAACAAAAAGUAAUUUUCAAAUAAAUAUCUUAAAUUAUAUAUUAAUUAAAAAUAAUAUUACAUUAUCAAACAAGUGAGAGGUAAAAUAAAAAUACAAACG